rnacentral:rRNA from 1 species
GACGAACGCUGGCGGCGUGCUUAACACAUGCAAGUCGAACGAUGAUGCUGGAGCUUGCUCCAGUUGAUUAGUGGCGAACGGGUGAGUAACACGUGAGCAAUCUGCCCUUGACUCUGGGAUAACUGCGGGAAACUGUAGCUAAUACCGGAUACUUUCACCGGAAGGCAUCUUCUGGUGAUGAAAGAAUUUCGGUCAGGGAUGGGCUCGCGGCCUAUCAGCUUGUUGGUGAGGUAACGGCUCACCAAGGCGACGACGGGUAGCCGGCCUGAGAGGGGGACCGGCCACACAGGGAAAGGGACACGGCCCAGACGCCUACGGGAGGCAGCAGUGGGGAAUAUUGCACAAUGGGCGCAAGCCUGAUGCAGCAACGCCGCGUGAGGGAUGACGGCCUUCGGGUUGUAAACCUCUUUUAGCAGGGAAGAAGCGAAAGUGACGGUACCUGCAGAAAAAGCACCGGCUAACUACGUGCCAGCCGCCGCCGUAA